GAAAUGAAUGGACCUAAUUCAGCUGAGGAAGUGAGGAGCUGCUGCUCAUCACCAAAGCAGCAGACAUUUGCAUUUGUGUGAAGGGUGGGGGCUUCCCCAGUGCCUCAGAGAUGCUCAGAAUCCCUGGCAUUACCUCCUGGAUCAGCAAAGCCCUGGGGGCAACUGUGGUCCUGCAGGCAGUGUGCAGUUGGAGACAGCUCCUGAAGAUGCAGAUUCAAGGAGGAGAGGGAUAAUUUGGACAAGUUCUGCACCAAGUUCAUCUCCCAGCACUCACACCAGGACCAGCAGCCACUUCUCCAGGCUGCUGGAUUUUCUCUUCUCGAGCUGUGAGCCUUGGCCAACAAUCCUUCUGGCCACCCUCUGGACUGGAGAGCACCCCAGGAGUUCCAAGUCAUUGAAUCUGUGCCUUUGCAUUCUCAAGGGACAGCUUUUCUGGUGGAGGAGAAGCAGGAGCAGGUCUUCUUUGUGGGGGAGUGAAGGGCAUGGUAACUUCUCAAAAUGAAGCCAUAAAGGCACAUGAGGCCACAGUGCUGGUCUCUCUUGGUGAUGGUCUGGCGUGCAACUGGCCUGUGGAAGUGCAGCUGGAGCAGUGGGAUCUUGCUGUGGGAUUUGCACCUAGGUCCUCCCAGUGUUGCAGAAGUGACAAAACUGCUACCGUGCUGCCCAUCAGCAGAGCAAGAAAUCAUGCAGCCAUGGCCUGGCCUCAUGGGGAGCUAAAUUGGGCAGUGCAAGGGCUGGCAAGGGGAUAUGGGGACCAUCAGUUGAGUGGAAAUGCUUGUGAGUAGUUGAGUGCAGU